rnacentral:rRNA from 1 species
AUUGAACGCUGGCGGCAGGCCUAACACAUGCAAGUCGAGCGGGGUUUUCGGACCUAGCGGCGGACGGGUGAGUAAUGCGUAGGAAGCUACCCGAUAGAGGGGGAUACCAGUUGGAAACGACUGUUAAUACCGCAUAAUGUCUACGGACCAAAGUGUGGGACCUUCGGGCCACAUGCUAUCGGAUGCGCCUACGUGGGAUUAGCUAGUUGGUGAGGUAAUGGCUCACCAAGGCGACGAUCCCUAGCUGGUUUGAGAGGAUGAUCAGCCACACUGGAACUGAGACACGGGCCAGGCUCCUACGGGCGGCAGCAGUGGGGAAUAUUGGACAAUGGGCGCAAGCCUGAUCCAGCCAUGCCGCGUGUGAGAAGAAGGCCUUCGGGUUGUAAAGCACUUUCAGUAGGGAGGAAGCGUUGUGUGUUAAUAGUACACAGCGUUGACGUUACCUACAGAAGAAGCACCGGCUAACUCUGUGCCAGCAGCCGCCGUAACAC